rnacentral:rRNA from 1 species
UACGUAGGCAGCAAGCGUUGUUCGGAGUUACUGGGCGUAAAGGGUGCGUAGGCGGCUUUUUAAGUUUGGUGUGAAAUCUCCCGGCUCAACUGGGAGGGUGCGCCGAAUACUGAGAGGCUAGAGUGUGGGAGAGGAAAGUGGAAUUCCUGGUGUAGCGGUGAAAAUGCGUAGAUAUCAGGAGGAACACCGGUGGUGUAAACGGCUUUCUGGACCAUAACUGACGCUGAUGCACGAAAAGCGUGGGGUAGCAAACAGG